rnacentral:rRNA from 1 species
AGAUUGAACGCUGGCGGCGUGCCUAACACAUGCAAGUCGGGCGGUAACAGGCGUAGCAAUACGUGCUGACGAGCGGCGAACGGGUGAGCAAUGCUUCGGAAUCUGCCCAAUGAUGGGGAAUAACCAGUCGAAAGAUUGGCUAAUACCGCAUACGCCUCGGGGAAGCGGGCGUCGUAGACCUCGCGUCGAUGGAGUGAGACCGAAGUCGGAUUAGCGUAGUUGGUAGGUACGGUCCGUACC